rnacentral:rRNA from 1 species
GACGAACGCUGGCGGCGUGCUUAACACAUGCAAGUCGAGCGGUAAGGCCCUUUCGGGGGUACACGAGCGGCGAACGGGUGAGUAACACGUGGGUGACCUGCCCUCAGCUCUGGGAUAAGCCCGGGAAACUGGGUCUAAUACCGGAUAUGACUCCAUGACGCAUGUUGUGGGGUGGAAAGCCUUGUGCGGCUGAGGAUGGGCCCGCGGCCUAUCAGCUUGUUGGUGGGGUGAUGGCCUACCAAGGCGACGACGGGUAGCCGCUGAGAGGCGACCGGCCACACUGGGACUGAGACACGGCCCAGACUCCUACGGGAGCAGCAGGUGGGAAUCUUGCGCAAUGGGCGAAAGCCUGACGCAGCGACGCCGCGUGGGGAUGACGG